AAAUGACCCCCUUACCUCAUCUCCUCUCUCUUCAAAACCUAGAUACCCUAGCCCUUCCCUCACUUCACCGCCGCCACACCCUUAGGACCGUCGGUUAAAUGCUUCCACCGACGCUGCUGCCUCACAUCACCUCAUCUAUCACCUUUUUCCCUACGUUUGAGAGCUGUCACAGCUCUGUUGAUGUCUGUGAAAAGGAAAACUUGAAGCUCUUUCGGGUUGAAGCUUACUUUGUCUUCAAUUCAAUGGGUAUAGACACAAAUUGACUCAAACGGCUCCAAAGGACUCAUCCCUUCACAUCACCUCUGCAAAAGGUGCAAAAUUGACUCCAUGUUCACCAUUUUUUUUCGAAAUUCUCAUAAGUUUCCCUUUUUUUUCUUUGUUUGAAAUUCAAACUCAAAGCUUCUCAAGGAAGCUAUUGAGUCCCCUUAAACUCAGCCUAUAAAUAUAGCCCCCUUGGCUAUGUUUAGGGAUAAGUUUCUUGACAGCUAAAAAAUCCCCUUAAAAAAACAACUAGAAAAUCUCCUCUUUUCAUAAAGCUUUUCUGAUAAAUAUCCUUUCUUUACUCUUAGUUUUUGGACUCAAAAAAUCCACAAAAACACUUAAGUUUGGUUCCUUUAUUGGCCGACACAACAACAAACCACUUCGAGCGGAUUCAGAGACUCGAGACGACAACAAGCCUCAGUUCGCUGUCCCAAAGAAGAUUCUGGAUCCUAGUUUUGUACUAGAAGAGCUUGUUGAAUCCUGGGAGAUACACCCAUACCGGGUGAAAUAUCCUUAAGGAUAGUGCCAUUGGCAUGCCUCAAGCUACGAAGAAUGCUCUACAAGUGUUCGUGAUCAAGCAUUUUCCUUAAGCUUAGAAGAAGUUCCUACAAGUGUUCGUGAUCAAGUAUUUUCUUCAAGCCUAGAAGAAGUUCCUACAAGUGUUCGUGAUGAAGAGAAGUCCCUACAAGUGUUCGUGAUGAAGAAAAGUCCCUACACAUGUUAGCGAUGAAGUAUUUUUCAUAAGAUUUCCAAUAAUCUUAAGGAUAUUUUUCACUCUCUAUUCUUACGGAAAAAUUGAAAGAGUUAACUUAGUACAAUCUGUCUAAGUUUCAGGUACGCGUUUGCUAAAAAUUUGAAUGUUAAAUGUACUUUAUAAGAGGUAGAUGAAUUUAAGGCGAUACAUAUAAUCUCCUUGCUAUUUUAGAAGUAUUUAUGAAUGCAUAUUAUUUGUUAGUACAGACUUGUAGAUUGUUAAUGUGUAUGUGCAUCUAGUAUGGUGAAAGAUAUUGCGCUUUAACUUCUCGAUUGUUGGUUUUGUGUAGUAUAUAUAUAUGGAAAACAAAUACGUAAAGUUUUGGUUGGAACAAAGUGUUUAUGAGGUUUUAAACCUUCAAUUUUGAAAUUUCUGAAGUGAUAAAAUGUAUUGGAAGACCAUAAUACUGUAUUUUUGUGAAAUUACUUUAGGAUCUAAGCAUAUCUAUGUUUAUCAUCUAGCUAGUUCCUCUAAUUUACUGGAAGUUUAUGGUGAUUAUGCAUUAUAGAAGCCUUCUCAUAUAUGAUAGAAAUCGAUGGGAAAGGAAGCAUAUGCAUACUUAUUUUUAUGAGUGAAAAUCUCAUUAUUGAAGCCUUACACAAUUGAGAUUUUGUGGCCAAAUAUCUGCGUUGGAAUUCAUCAAAGUGUACUUUUGAUAAAUUUACUUUAGGCAUCGAAAGGCGUUAUUUUUUUUAAUAAUUUUACGACUGAUUUAAUUAUAUUAUAUAAAUAUGAUAUAUUUAUGUGCAAGUCAAUCUUUUAGCUUUGUAGUCUUUGCAUUUAGGAAAAAAAAUAGUAUUUGAUUAUGGAAAUAAAAUUAACACUAACAAAAUUCUUUUAUCAUGAGGUGGUUCUUAACAAAGUUGAUUUCAUGUGUCAAUUGAUAUGAUAUUGAAAUUUUACAAUGUAAAUAUCGAGCCAUUAGUGAGAUAACAAUUGUUUUGUGUGUGGCAAAGUAAGCCAUCGUACUCCUAAAAUGUUGAAGAAGAUUAGGAGAAUUGACAAUCCCGCUAAGUGAAAAUAAUUUUGGCUGAGUGGAUGAUAUAACUGUUGUGGUCAUUUCUCAAGUAAAUCUUGUGGCUAAUGUGAGAGUUUGAGUGUUAGACUUUGGUGUUACUAAGCAUAUUCUACACCCAAGUUGAAGAAGAAAAAUAGUUUAUUUAUGUUGGUGAUUCUAAAACUAUUCAAGUUCUUAGAAUGAAAAAAUUCUUCUUAAAAUUAUUAGCUGGGGUAAUUUAUAUUCUAUUAUUUGAGCCAAUAAUUUUAUUCUUGUGGAAUUACUAGAAAAACUUGAAGAGAAGAUUUUAUUUGAGUAUGAUAAGGUUGUAUCAACCAAAAUAAUAUUUUAAUGGGCAAUGAGUAUUGUCAUCAUAGUUUGUUUAUUUGUGUUUACUAUUUUUAAAUAAUAAAAAAAAACUAGUAUUUGUAUUAUUUCUUAUCCAACUCUUGAUAAAAAUAUUAUUUUCUUAAAAUAUAUAUUGAUAAUGGCAUAGUGUGGGUAACUAUAAAAAAUCGUUUGGGUGAAGUUAUACUAUUAGUUUGUUAUUUAUAAGAUGAAAUCUCUUAUGAGAAAUUAGUAAUACUUCUUAUGAGUUAUGAAAAUAUUAUUCCCUUAUCGUAGAAUUUCUGGAAAUGUGGGGGUUAUGAUGUCUUAUGACUUAUGAAAAAUAUUAUUUUCCUGUCUUAAAUUUUUUGAAAAUGUGGGGGUCACAGUGUCUUACUAAAGUUAUGUUUGGAGAAUUUUUUGAAAAAAAAUGAUAACAUGUGGUGGUGUUGUUCGAAAUGCUUUUGAAAAUAUAAAGUUUGAUAAGAAGCAAAUGAUGGUAAAGUGUUUGCUGAAUUAAUAUUUAUUGUACUAGAGGGGUACAAUGAUGUUAAGUGGAUUUAUGGUUAUGUGUUCACCCUUUGUGGAGGUGUAAUAGCAUGAAAAUCAGCUAAGUAGACCAUAAUGAAAUAUGAGUAUGGUUUGGAGUUGGCUGGUAAUGAGACUUCUCAGUGAGUAUUAAGGUUGAGUUAAAACCAACAUGUCUAUAUAUUGCGGUUGCCGAGCUGUAGUGAAUAUUCGGUGGCAAUAAAACAUAUUCGUUUGGAACAUAAAGUGAUAAAACGACGUUGUUAUGAGAUGAAAUUAUUAUGUGAUGUCUGAGGUGAAUUUGGCCGAUUCACAAGACUAAAAGAAACAUCGAGGGGAAUGAGAUUUUUGUCAUUUGAGAAGAUUAACAAUGAUGGUAACCCAAGUGUUCGUGAUCAAGUAUUUUCCUUAAGCUUAGAAGAAGUUCGUACAAGUGUUCGUGAUCAAGUAUUUUCCUCAAGCCUAGAAGAAGUUCCUACAAGUGUUCGUGAUGAAGAGAAGUCUCUACAAGUGUUCGUGAUGAAGAAAAGUCCCUACACAUGUUAGCGAUGAAGUAUUUUUCAUAAGAUUUCCAACACAACAAACAUCGAGCUACCGAGAUACUUCAAGUUGAAGAAUACUUGUAAAAGCUUGUUCUGGUGGUCAAAGAAUGUGGUAGGCAACAUUUUCUAUAAAAUGGAGCAGCUAUAGGAAAAAGUUAGGACCUUGGAAGAGUUCACUUUGCAAGAUAACAAUGAAGAAUAUAGGAUGGCAUUAAACCAAGAUAAUUAAUGUUGAGAUGAUCAGGCAUAGCAAGGUGGAGGAGUCAGAAAUGAGGAAGGGGAUCUAAUAAUGGUUUUUUCUAUCUCUAUGGACUGUAAGAGUCACAGUAUUGCAGAAGCAUUGGCUGCUGAGCAUGGCAUUAGAUGGUGCAUGAAUCAUGGCUUUGAUAAUGUGCAAAUUGAGCUAGGGUCCCAAAUCAUAGUCAAGAUGCUGCUCAACAAAGAUACAGACAAUUUGAAGCUCAAGCAGAUCAUCAACAACACAAAUGACUUUCUUAAAGAUGCAACUGUGCAAAUUUCUCACUGUUACAGAGAGGCUAACAUGGUGGCUGAUUGCUAAAAUGGCUUCAACAAGUAGAAGGAGGACCUUAUAUCUUUCUCAAAGGGAUUUACCAAGAGAAGUCAAGGGGCUAAUUCAACUUGAUAAGCAACAACUUCCUACUUUUAGAAGAAGAUUUGAAAAAUGUAACUUCUUAGUAAGCUAGAAUAUCUUGAUAGCUAGGGAGGAUUCUGUUCAUUUGGCUAUCUCCUCCCUUUUAGAUUGUUUUUACAAUCUCUUUUGUAGACUAGAGGCAAGGUUCAAUGUUCCCCUCUAGUCAUUGUAAAUUAUCUUUACUUAUAUAAUACAUGGUAGGGGUCAAGCAAAACCCCCCAUACAAUAGGUUCACAACCUAAU